UCCCGUUCUGGACAUAGAACAAUGCGUGAUUCCAAAUAAAUAUGCAUAUCCUGCACACAGUCUUAAACGUAGAAAGCAACUGCUAAAAAUUAACCAACCACGCAUGCAUCUGAACAUUAAAUUACUAUUAAGCUGCUACAUGAAUUCAUACUUAGCAAAUCUGACAUAAAGCAAGAUGAGAGGAAAAAUUCCAAAAAAUCAGGUAGCAUGCUGUAUGCCUUUCUAAUAGAUGCUCCACUGCCGGUAUAUGUUUAUAAUUCAAAAUUACUUACUAAUUACAGCACUUUCAAUACAAUUAUAAAAGGGAAAACCAUAGAAAAAGAAAAAGUGUGAAAAAUAAUACAUAGUCAUGAAUUUGGGAUUGAAACUAACUAAUACUGCUGAACGACUUAUAGCUAACAAAACAAAUAGAAAAGCAAAGAAAAAGAAGAAAAACCAAAUAAGACAGUAGUUUAAUAAAAUAAUACUUUUUCUUUUCUUUCAUUUUCACAAACAAGAAUUGGAAUAUGAAAAAAUAAAAGCAACGGCAAGGUUGUACCUAUUGAUACUAGGAAGAAACUGAAGUGUAUUUCUUGCUUGGGCUUCGAUAUAGUUCAAAAUUGACCUGAAAUGAUUGUUCUAGUCAAGAACAAUACAUUUGGGGUAAAUUUCGAACCAUGAAAUGUAAAGAAACACAACAGAAUGAACAUGUAGGAACCGGUCUUUUUUUUUUAGAUUUUCAGAUUUGACUGGUUUAAAGAAGAUUUAGGGAAAAUAACUAGUGGAUUCGGAUUCACGAGUGUGUGAGGAUUAUAGGGAAUGACUUUGGGUGGAUUUGAGCAUUUAGGACUUUUUAGGUCUUGGGUUCAGAUUUAAUAUUCAGUGUGUUUGGUGAUGAGUUGAAGGGAGCUAUUUGGAUAUUUCGGAUGGGGAGAUGGAGGGUGAUUCAUGGUGUGAAUUUAGUGAAGAUUGGACAACCGAAACCGCCGUGAAGCGAUUUUCUUUGGGCGGAUUAAGGUAGGGUAAGGCGGAGGCAGCGAGAAUUUUAGGGCGGCGUCUCUUGGGCUUGAGAGACAGAGUGAGAGAGAUGGAAUUNNN
rnacentral:lncRNA from 1 species